CUCCGGUUGAUCCCGCCGGACCCGACUGCUAUCAGAGUGGGACUAAGCCAUGCGAGUCGACGUAGCAAUGCGUGGCGAACGGCUCAGUAACACGUAGUCAACAUGCCCAGGGGACGUGGAUAACCUCGGGAAACUGAGAAUAAACCACGAUAGGUCACGAUUUCUGGAAUGGAUCAUGGCCUAAAUCUACAUGGCCCCUGGAUUGGACUGCGGCCGAUCAGGCUGUUGGUGAGGUAAUGGCCCACCAAACCUGUAACCGGUACGGGCUCUGAGAGGAGAAGCCCGGAGAUGGGCACUGAGACAAGGGCCCAGGCCCUAUGGGGCGCAGCAGGCGCGAAACCUCUGCAAUAGGCGAAAGCCUGACAGGGUUACUCUGAGUGAUUUCCGCUAAGGGGAUCUUUUGGCACCUCUAAAAAGGGUGCAGAAUAAGGGGUGGGCAAGUCUGGUGUCAGCCGCCGCGGUAAUACCAGCACCCCGAGUGGUCGGGACGAUUAUUGGGCCUAAAGCAUCCGUAGCCGGUUCUGCAAGUCUUCCGUUAAAUCCAGCCGCUCAACGGAUGGGCCGCGGAGGAUACUACAGGACUAGGAGGCGGGAGAGGCAAGCGGUACUCAGUGGGUAGGGGUAAAAUCCUUUGAUCCAUUGAAGACCACCAGUGGCGAAGGCGGCUUGCCAGAACGCGCUCGACGGUGAGGGAUGAAAGCUGGGGGAGCAAACCGGAUUAGAUACCCGGGUAGUCCCAGCUGUAAACGAUGCAGACUCGGUGAUGGGCUAGCCUUGUGCCAGCCCAGUGCCGCAGGGAAGCCGUUAAGUCUGCCGCCUGGGGAGUACGGUCGCAAGACUGAAACUUAAAGGGAUUUGGCGGGGGAAGCA
rnacentral:rRNA from 1 species